UACAGAGGUCUCAAGCGUUGUUCGGAUUCAUUGGGCGUAAAGGGUGCGUAGGUGGCGCCGUAAGUCGGGGUGUGAAAUUUCGAGGCUUAACCUCGAAACUGCAUUCGAUACUGCGGUGCUUGAGGACUGGAGAGGAGACUGGAAUUCAUGGUGUAGCAGUGAAAUGCGUAGAGAUCAUGAGGAAGACCAGUGGCGAAGGCGGGUCUCUGGACAGUUCCUGACGCUGAGGCACGAAGGUCAGGGGGAGCAAAACGGGG
rnacentral:rRNA from 1 species